rnacentral:rRNA from 1 species
GACAGAGGAUGCAAGCGUUAUCCGGAAUGAUUGGGCGUAAAGCGUCUGUAGGUGGCUUUUUAAGUCCGCCGUCAAAUCCCAGGGCUCAACCCUGGACAGGCGGUGGAAACUACCAAGCUGGAGUACGGUAGGGGCAGAGGGAAUUUCCGGUGGAGCGGGUGAAAUGCGUAGAGAUCGGAAAGAACACCGAAGGCGAAAGCACUCUGCUGGGCCGAAACUGACACUGAUAGACGAAAGCUAGGGGAGCAAAUGGG